UUCUCUCUCUCUCUUUCUGGUUUUGGAAGAAAGAACCCUUCGGCUUUCGAUCGCUUGUUUCCCCUUCAUUUCAAACUCGCGGUCCCGCGCUCCGUCUCUUUCUUGAUUUCGAAGAAACCUCACACGGGACGGUCCCCGGAGGUCCGUGAGUCGUCGGAGUGUCCCAACAGCAGGGGGAGUUCUAUGUAUCUUCUUCUGUGAUGCGGGGAGAGGGGCGCUUCUAACGUUGGGUGGGCCGCUCCAUGGCUGGUUGGAGACAUCGGCAUGCAUGCAUCAAUCGCCAUUGAAGAGAAGGAACUUUUUAGGGGCGAUCCACGAAUGCCGGUAAAGAAGGGACUCACUUCUGACGUGGGGCAUCGCCAGUGGGGAAGGGGAUGCUUCAUUUCUGCUGAAACUCGUUCCCCUUCUCCCAGCGUUUUCAGUUUCCUUCCGUGCAGACACUCUGGCACCGCGACCAGGACGCCGAUCUGGAUCUUUCUGCUGUUACAUUAUAAAUUCUUGUCGCCGUCUUUCUCUGCCGUCGAACAAACAUCCCGGUCAUCACCGAUAGGAGGGUCCUCAAGAAUGGCCAUGCAGGGUGGACGCUGCAGCGUGGUUUGCCCUUGUUUGAGGCUCUUCAUCCGCAGCAAUGGUAAAACCCUAGGACUUCCAAGCCCACAUUUUAACCUUAUUUGGAGGUCAAAAACUCCUCUCGCGCUAUUUGAAGAUUUCUACAGAAAAAUGUCGAAAAGAAAGUAGAAAGGAGAAUGGUGCUUGGUGUUUGAAGUUUUCUUAGAUCAGAUCAGUUUCCUCUUGGAAGCAUUCAGUGAUAUUCCUUUCAAGGCUAUCCCAUACCAUUCAUAGGCGUUUUCAAAUUGCACAGAAUUAAAGCUGCUACAAGGAGACAUGAUGUAGCUUUGCUCUUGUUUCAGAACAUAUAUAUCGAUAUAACCGCCAGUUUUUGUUCCUAACUAACUUGAAUGUUUCUUUGCUGAAGUAAGGUGCCAUUGCCACAAAACUGUAAAUAUGCAAUGCUACCUUAUGUGCAGGUCAAGAACCACUGCUGUUUUCAUUUUCAGAACAUGUUUCAUUUUAUAAACAACAAAGAGAUAUUGCUGACAACAAAAAGGCAGUAAGACAUGUUGCCAUUAAAGGACUUUGAUUUCCAAUUGCCUGGUCUGUUGGAAAGGCUCUCGACAAUCCAACGAGCAGUAUCAACUUUCUCUUUCCAGUCGCCAGGUUGAGUUUUUUCCAUCCUGGGACUGUAUAUGCGUUGUGCCUGACCCUCCUUUGUUUGCCGGAAUUGUGGUGAAAUUUCAAUUUGCAAGAGGGAAUCUACAAUAUAGUAUAUAUGCCAAGUGCAAAAUCCAAAACAUGUAAAUAUUGGCUGCUGGCAUCAAAUGUAAUUGGUCCAUUGGAGAGUAACUCGUGCUGGCUUCGGGCAAGGCAUGCAAUACGGCAACGCUGAAGGAUGAUGGCAAUAGCGUUGACGAUAAUUCAAAUCGGAAUGUGGUUGACUGAUCUCUCUCUCUCUCUGACCUUUUUCAAAUGUGACCUCAUACAAAUCUUUGUGCAUCAAAAAAUGUUAUAGUUGAUUUUAUGAACUAUCUAGUACCAAAGCAUAAAAGAAUGGUUUUAAUUUGA